ACGGCUCAGUAACACGUGGACAACCUACCCUGAGGUCGGGGAUAAACCCGGGAAACUGGGUAUAAUACCCGAUAGAUCUAGAUCGCUGGAAUGCUUUUAGGUCUAAAGUUCCGACGCCUCAGGAUGGGUCUGCGGCCUAUCAGGGUAGUAGUGGGUGUAAAGUACCUACUAGCCUACGACGGGUACGGGUUGUGAGAGCAAGAGCCCGGAGAUGGAUUCUGAGACACGAAUCCAGGCCCUACGGGGUGCAGCAGGCGCGAAACCUUUACAAUGCUGGCAACAGCGAUAAGGGGACCUCGAGUGCUACGAUACAAUCGUGGCUGUCUAGUUGCCUAAAAAGCAAUUGAUAGCAAGGGCCGGGCAAGACCGGUGCCAGCCGCCGCGGUAACACCGGCGGCUCGAGUGGUAACCGCUAUUAUUGGGUCUAAAGGGUCUGUAGCCGGCUUAGUUAGUCUCUUGAGAAAUCUGGCCGCUCAACGGUCAGGCGUUCAGGGGAUACUGCUAAAGCUCGAGACCGGGAGAGGUGAGAGGUACUUCAGGGGUAGGGGUGAAAUCUUGUAAUCCUUGAAGGACCACCAGUGGCGAAGGCGUCUCACCAGAACGGAUCUGACGGCAAGGGACGAAGGCUAGGGGCACGAACCGGAUUAGAUACCCGGGUAGUCCUAGCCGUAAACGAUACUCGCUAGGUGUCGGCCACGGUGCGACCGUGGUCGGUGCCGUAGGGAAGCCGUGAAGCGAGCCACCUGGGAAGUACGGCCGCAAGGCUGAAACUUAAAGGAAUUGGCGGGGGAGCAC
rnacentral:rRNA from 1 species